rnacentral:rRNA from 1 species
GCGGCGGACGGGUGAGUAACACGUGGGUAACCUGCCUGUAAGACUGGGAUAACUCCGGGAAACCGGGGCUAAUACCGGAUGCUUGUUUGAACCGCAUGGUUCAAACAUAAAAGGUGGCUUCGGCUACCACUUACAGAUGGACCCGCGGCGCAUUAGCUAGUUGGUGAGGUAAUGGCUCACCAAGGCAACGAUGCGUAGCCGACCUGAGAGGGUGAUCGGCCACACUGGGACUGAGACACGGCCCAGACUCCUACGGGAGGCAGCAGUAGGGAAUCUUCCGCAAUGGACGAAAGUCUGACGGAGCAACGCCGCGUGAGUGAUGAAGGUUUUCGGAUCGUAAAGCUCUGUUGUUAGGGAAGAACAAGUGCCGUUCAAAUAGGGCGGCACCUUGACGGUACCUAACCAGAAAGCCACGGCUAACUACGUGCCAGCAGCCGCGGUAAUACGUAGGUGGCAAGCGUUGUCCGGAAUUAUUGGGCGUAAAGGGCUCGCAGGCGGUUUCUUAAGUCUGAUGUGAAAGCCCCCGGCUCAACCGGGGAGGGUCAUUGGAAACUGGGGAACUUGAGUGCAGAAGAGGAGAGUGGAAUUCCACGUGUAGCGGUGAAAUGCGUAGAGAUGUGGAGGAACACCAGUGGCGAAGGCGACUCU